UGGAAGUAGAGACCAGUAACUACUCAAAUAAACGGGUAUAACUAAAAAACCUUAAGAGUAAGGUGUAA
rnacentral:ncRNA from 1 species